GCCUGGGUGGCUCAGUCGGUUAAGUGUCUGACUUCAGCUCAGGUCAUGAUCCCACAGUUUGUGGGUUCGAGCCCCUCAUCGGGCU
rnacentral:tRNA from 1 species